rnacentral:rRNA from 1 species
AUUGAACGCUGGCGGCAGGCUUAACACAUGCAAGUCGAGCGGGGAAAGGUAGCUUGCUACCUGACCUAGCGGCGGACGGGUGAGUAAUGCUUAGGAAUCUGCCUAUUAGUGGGGGACAACGUUCCGAAAGGAACGCUAAUACCGCAUACGUCCUACGGGGGAAAGCAGGGGAUCUUCGGACCUUGCGCUAAUAGAUGAGCCUAAGUCGGAUUAGCUAGUUGGUGGGGUAAAGGCCUACCAAGGCGACGAUCUGUAGCGGGUCUGAGAGGAUGAGCCGCCACACUGGGACUGAGACACGGCCCAGACUCCUACGGGAGGCAGGAGUGGGGAAGAUUGGACAAUGGGCGCAAGCCUGAUCCAGCCAUGCCGCGUGUGUGAAGAAGGCCUUUUGGUUGUAAAGCACUUUAAGCGAGGAGGAGGCUCCUUUAGUUAAUACCUAAAGAGAGUGGACGUUACUCGCAGAAUAAGCACCGGCUAACUCUGUGCCAGCCGCCGCGGUAAGAC